rnacentral:rRNA from 1 species
AGUGAACGCUGGCGGUAGGCCUAACACAUGCAAGUCGAACGGCAGCACAGAGGAGCUUGCUCCUUGGGUGGCGAGUGGCGGACGGGUGAGGAAUACAUCGGAAUCUACUCUGUCGUGGGGGAUAACGUAGGGAAACUUACACUAAUACCGCAUACGACCUACGGGUGAAAGCAGGCGACCUUAGGGCCUUUCGCGAUUGAAUGAGCCGAUGUCGGUUUAGCUAGUUGGCGGGGUAAAGGCCCACCAAGGCGACGAUCCGUAGCUGGUCUGAGAGGAUGAGCAGCCACACUGGAACUGAGACACGGUCCAGACUCCUACGGGAGGCAGCAGUGGGGAAUAUUGGACAAUGGGCGCAAGCCUGAUCCAGCCAUACCGCGUGGGUGAAGAAGGCCUUCGGGUUGUAAAGCCCUUUUGUUGAGAAAGAAAUCCAGCUGGCUAAUACCCGGUUGGGAUGACGGUACCCAAAGAAUAAGCACCGGCUAACUUCGUGCCAGCCGCCGCCGUAA